GUGGGGAAUAUUGGACAAUGGGCGCAAGCCUGAUCCAGCCAUGCCGCGUGAGUGAUGAAGGCCCUAGGGUUGUAAAGCUCUUUCACCGAUGAAGAUAAUGACGGUAGUCGGAGAAGAAGCCCCGGCUAACUUCGUGCCAGCAGCCGCGGUAAUACGAAGGGGGCUAGCGUUGUUCGGAAUUACUGGGCGUAAAGCGCACGUAGGCGGAUAUUUAAGUCAGGGGUGAAAUCCCAGAGCUCAACUCUGGAACUGCCUUUGAUACUGGGUAUCUCGAGUAUGGAAGAGGUGAGUGGAAUUCCGAGUGUAGAGGUGAAAUUCGUAGAUAUUCGGAGGAACACCAGUGGCGAAGGCGGCUCACUGGUCCAUUACUGACGCUGAGGUGCGAAAGCGUGGGGAGCAAACAGGAUUAGAAACCCCGGUAGUCC
rnacentral:rRNA from 1 species